UCUUCCUCUUCCUCUUCCUCUUCCUCUUCCUCUUCCUCUUCCUCUUCCUCUUCCUCUUCUUCUUCUUCUUCUUCUUCUUCUUCUUCUUCUAGCUUUUAGGUGUACUUGUAAAUUGCAGUUAUGAGAACUUUUUUAGUUUCUUUGUAGAGGCACUUAGUGCUAUGAAUUUUCCCGUUAGUAUUGCUUUCAUUGUGUCCUAUAAUCUUGGGUAUGCUUG
rnacentral:miRNA from 1 species